GUCUGAACCCAAUCUGUAGAUUGCUCAGGGUGUGGACGUGCUGAGCUCUUCUUGCUGGAUGAAGAAGGGAAACGAAUGGGGAACGAGAAGAAGAGACAAAAAGGCGGGCUGCCAUAGUUCCUCGCUGGGAGAGGGGAUCCUAAGCCUGAGACUCUAGUUGCAGCUCUGCCCGGGUCUUCAGAGACCUCAGAACCACUGGUGAACCUGUGAGCCCUGCUGUCUGUCUAGCUGUCUCCAACUGUGAGCCCUGCUGUCUAGCGGUCUCCAACUUACCCACUUGGUGUAUUUGUCCUCAAUGUCAGAUAUUUUUUCAGUGAUCUGUGCCUCAGUUUUUCUGUCUGCAAAAUGGGGAUGACAAUGAUAAUAGUCUCUACCUCUUCUGCUUUUAUUGCUGUAUAAGACUAUUGGAUAAUGUGCCUGGCUUAUUGUAUGUGAGAUAUGUUUGAUAUGCUUUAAAAUAGCUAUUUUCCAGCACUUACACUCAUCAGUUAUAAGUUGAAAUGAUAAUAU
rnacentral:lncRNA from 1 species